GAGAGAAUUCCAUCAGUGGACAGCUCUAUUUUUAAGGCUCUGGCUUUGUUUUCUCUUUCCCGAGAGGCAGUCCCUGCAGCAGGCUUGAGCCUCUCUCACUGACAGCCUGCCUCACAUAAUGUUAAGCAGGCAUCGGACACUUGCUGGAAGGCAGGGAAUUGCAAUGAAAGAGCAUGGAGGUGAGAAGCUGUGCUCCUUGGGGUGAAGGCAGCUUCUGUGCUCCUGGGAUCUACUGUUAAGCCAGGGUGACGCCUGCUUGCAUGCUACCGGAGGGAUGAGUCCUUGGCUCAGCAGAAUGGGCCUAGGUGGAGCUUGAAAUUAAUGAAGAGAUGCUGCUUCCAGCUUUUUGAGCAAGAAGAAGUUUGGCCUCCAGUUAUUACACCUUGAGGUCAGCGGGUAUCUCAAGUCUGAGUAGUUAUAAAAGUGAGCUCAUGUAGAAACACCACCAAAGCAACGUUUUAUCUAAAUAUUUCAGAUCCCCCGUUAUAAAUCAUUUAUUAUGAUUACCCUUUUGGUGUCAUGGAAUGAGAUGAUGCGGUUUUCUUAAUGAAGUAUUUCAUAGACAUAUUUUUUCCAUUUAUCUUGGUGUUGGAUGCUAUGUGACCUGAAUGGCAAAUGAGGAAAUACUUGUACAAAUCCUGAAAUGCACACAUCUCCCCAUGCCAGAGUGCAGGAGUGGACAGGGCUUUCCCUGGCAGCAAUAGGAGCCCGGUCCUCAGUAGGGCCUCUCCAGCCUGACUGCACCAUAGCAGGUGACAUCUGACUUGGGGUGUGCCAUGUUCCCAGAGCCGCUUUUUUAAGGAGUUUGGUGGGAGCUGGAGGAAGCAUCCACAUCUUUAAAAACCAACCUUAACUCGUGAGAAGAAAAGUGGUAAACAUUCAAACACAAUUUGAACUUUUAAUUUAGCCUUGUGAGUUCAUCUAUAUCCAUUUCCAGGAAAGGUCAUGGGCUGAGGUGCUUCACUGAAAUAAACGCACUUUGGAGUUGACAGUAACCAAGCAAGGCCAGGGACCCUGAAGAGAACCCUCCCCACACUUGCAAUGAUCAAACAUGCUACAUCUUAGAAAUUGGAUCUGCCGGUUUAUGGCAACUUGACGUAAAAUGUGUAUCUCAGGUCAGGCUGAUCUGAUUUAAAUAUCUUAGUGUUAAGCAUUCUGUAUCUGACAUUGUGAAAACGCAUAUAAUGGAACCAAGAUUCGAAUAUCAAGAUGACAAGAAGGAUUGUACCUUGAAGACAGUAAAAGUCACUUGCAUUCUGGGGUUACACAUUUAAUUUAAAAUAGUUGUAUUCCCUGUUCCUAGGGUCCUUGUAACUCUCUCC
rnacentral:lncRNA from 1 species